rnacentral:rRNA from 1 species
CCUACGGGGGGCUGCAGUGGGGAAUAUUGCACAAUGGGCGCAAGCCUGAUGCAGCCAUGCCGCGUGUGUGAAGAAGGCCUUCGGGUUGUAAAGCACUUUCAGCGGGGAGGAAGGCGUUAAGGUUAAUAACCUUGGCGAUUGACGUUACCCGCAGAAGAAGCACCGGCUAACUCCGUGCCAGCAGCCGCGGUAAUACGGAGGGUGCAAGCGUUAAUCGGAAUUACUGGGCGUAAAGCGCACGCAGGCGGUCUGUCAAGUCGGAUGUGAAAUCCCCGGGCUCAACCUGGGAACUGCAUUCGAAACUGGCAGGCUAGAGUCUUGUAGAGGGGGGUAGAAUUCCAGGUGUAGCGGUGAAAUGCGUAGAGAUCUGGAGGAAUACCGGUGGCGAAGGCGGCCCCCUGGACAAAGACUGACGCCCAGGUGCGAAAGCGUGGGGAGCAAACAGGAUUAGAUACCCCUGUAGUC